CAAUAGCGUAUAUUUAAGUUGUUGCAGUUAAAAAGCUCGUAGUUGGAUUUCGGGUGGGACGCAGCGGUCUCGCAUUGCGUUUGUACUGCUGCAGCCCUCCUUCUUGCCGGGGGCGGCCUCUCGGACUUCACUGUCUGGGGGUCAGAAUCGGCGAUGUUACUUUGAGUAAAUUAGAGUGUUCAAAGCAAGCUUACGCUCUGAAUAUAAUAGCAUGGGAUAACACGACAGGACUCUGGCCUAUCGUGUUGGUCUAUAGGACCAGAGUAAUGAUUAAGAGGGACAGUCGGGGGCAUUCGUACUCCGUUGUCAGAGGUGAAAUUCUUGGAUUUACGGAAGACGAACAUCUGCGAAAGCAUUUGCCAAGGAUGUUUUCAUUGA
rnacentral:rRNA from 1 species